GACGAACGCUGGCGGCGUGCCUAAUACAUGCAAGUCGAGCGGACCUCUUCGGAGGUCAGCGGCGGACGGGUGAGUAACACGUGGGCAACCUGCCUGUAAGACUGGGAUAACACCGGGAAACCGGUGCUAAUACCGGAUAAUCCUUUUCCUCACAUGAGGGGAAGCUGAAAGACGGUUUCGGCUGUCACUUACAGAUGGGCCCGCGACGCAUUAGCUAGUUGGUGGGGUAACGGCCCACCAAGGCGACGAUGCGUAGCCGACCUGAGAGGGUGAUCGGCAACGCUGGGACUAAGACACGGCGCAGACUCCUACGGGAGGCAGCAGUAGGGAAUCUGCCGCAGUGGACGAAAGUCUGACGGAGCAACGCCGCGUGAGCGAAGAAGGCCUUCGGGUCGUAAAGCUCUGUUGUCAGGGAAGAACACGUACCGGAGUAACUGCCGGUACCUUGACGGUACCUGACCAGAAAGCCACGGCUAACUACGUGCCAGCCGCCGCAGUAAGAC
rnacentral:rRNA from 1 species